AGAGUUUGAUCAUGGCUCAGAUUGAACGCUGGCGGCAGGCCUAACACAUGCAAGUCGAACGGUAACAGGAAGCAGCUUGGCUGCUUUGCUGACGAGUGGCGGACGGGUGAGUAAUGUCUGGGAAACUGCCUGAUGGAGGGGGAUAACUACUGGAAACGGUGGCUAAUACCGCAUAACGUCGCAAGACCAAAGAGGGGGACCUUCGGGCCUCUUGCCAUCAGAUGUGCCCAGAUGGGAUUAGCUUGUUGGUGAGGUAACGGCUCACCAAGGCGACGAUCCCUAGCUGGUCUGAGAGGAUGACCAGCCACACUGGAACUGAGACACGGUCCAGACUCCUACGGGAGGCAGCAGUGGGGAAUAUUGCACAAUGGGCGCAAGCCUGAUGCAGCCAUGCCGCGUGUAUGAAGAAGGCCUUCGGGUUGUAAAGUACUUUCAGCGGGGAGGAAGGUGUUGUGGUUAAUAACCGCAGCAAUUGACGUUACCCGCAGAAGAAGCACCGGCUAACUCCGUGCCAGCAGCCGCGGUAAUACGGAGGGUGCAAGCGUUAAUCGGAAUUACUGGGCGUAAAGCGCACGCAGGCGGUCUGUCAAGUCGGAUGUGAAAUCCCCGGGCUCAACCUGGGAACUGCAUUCGAAACUGGCAGGCUUGAGUCUUGUAGAGGGGGGUAGAAUUCCAGGUGUAGCGGUGAAAUGCGUAGAGAUCUGGAGGAAUACCGGUGGCGAAGGCGGCCCCCUGGACAAAGACUGACGCUCAGGUGCGAAAGCGUGGGGAGCAAACAGGAUUAGAUACCCUGGUAGUCCACGCCGUAAACGAUGUCUACUUGGAGGUUGUGCCCUUGAGGCGUGGCUUCCGGAGCUAACGCGUUAAGUAGACCGCCUGGGGAGUACGGCCGCAAGGUUAAAACUCAAAUGAAUUGACGGGGGCCCGCACAAGCGGUGGAGCAUGUGGUUUAAUUCGAUGCAACGCGAAGAACCUUACCUGGUCUUGACAUCCACAGAACUUUCCAGAGAUGGAUUGGUGCCUUCGGGAACUGUGAGACAGGUGCUGCAUGGCUGUCGUCAGCUCGUGUUGUGAAAUGUUGGGUUAAGUCCCGCAACGAGCGCAACCCUUAUCCUUUGUUGCCAGCGGUCCGGCCGGGAACUCAAAGGAGACUGCCAGUGAUAAACUGGAGGAAGGUGGGGAUGACGUCAAGUCAUCAUGGCCCUUACGACCAGGGCUACACACGUGCUACAAUGGCGCAUACAAAGAGAAGCGACCUCGCGAGAGUAAGCGGACCUCAUAAAGUGCGUCGUAGUCCGGAUUGGAGUCUGCAACUCGACUCCAUGAAGUCGGAAUCGCUAGUAAUCGUGGAUCAGAAUGCCACGGUGAAUACGUUCCCGGGCCUUGUACACACCGCCCGUCACACCAUGGGAGUGGGUUGCAAAAGAAGUAGGUAGCUUAACCUUCGGGGGGGCGCUUACCACUUUGUGAUUCAUGACUGGGGUGAAGUCGUAACAAGGUAACCGUAGGGGAACCUGCGGUUG
rnacentral:rRNA from 1 species